UGAACGCUGGCGGCGUGCCUAAUACAUGCAAGUCGAGCGAACGGACGAGAAGCUUGCUUCUCUGAUGUUAGCGGCGGACGGGUGAGUAACACGUGGAUAACCUACCUAUAAGACUGGGAUAACUUCGGGAAACCGGAGCUAAUACCGGAUGAUAUUUUGAACCGCAUGGUUCAAAAGUGAAAGACGGUCUUGCUGUCACUUAUAGAUGGAUCCGCGCUGCAUUAGCUAGUUGGUAAGGUAACGGCUUACCAAGGCAACGAUGCAUAGCCGACCUGAGAGGGUGAUCGGCCACACUGGAACUGAGACACGGUCCAGACUCCUACGGGAGGCAGCAGUAGGGAAUCUUCCGCAAUGGGCGAAAGCCUGACGGAGCAACGCCGCGUGAGUGAUGAAGGUCUUCGGAUCGUAAAGCUCUGUUAUUAGGGAAGAACAUAUGUGUAAGUAACUGUGCACAUCUUGACGGUACCUAAUCAGAAAGCCACGGCUAACUACGUG
rnacentral:rRNA from 1 species